GGGUGAGUAACACGUGGAUAACCUACCUAUAAGACUGGGAUAACUUCUGGAAACCGGAGCUAAUACCGGAUAAUAUAUUGAACCGCAUGGUUCAAUAGUGAAAGACGGUUUUGCUGUCACUUAUAGAUGGAUCCGCGCCGCAUUAGCUAGUUGGUAAGGUAACGGCUUACCAAGGCAACGAUGCGUAGCCGACCUGAGAGGGUGAUCGGCCACACUGGAACUGAGACACGGUCCAG
rnacentral:rRNA from 1 species